rnacentral:rRNA from 1 species
ACGGAAGGCAGCAGUGGGGAAUAUUGGGCACUGGGCGCAAGCCUGACCCAGCGACGCCGCGUGAGGGAAGAAGGUCUUCGGAUUGUAAACCUCUUUCAGCAGGGAAGACCAAGAGACGGUACCUGCAGAAGAAGUCACGGCUAACUACGUGCCAGCAGCCGCGGUAAUACGUAGGUGGCGAGCGUUAUCCGGAAUUACUGGGUGUAAAGGGUGUGUAGGCGGAGAAGCAAGUCAGGCGUGAAACUUAUGGGCUCAACCCAUAAACUGCGCUUGAAACUGUUUCACUUGAGAGUGGGAGAGGUUAACGGAAUUCCUAGUGUAGUAGUGAAAUGCGUAGAUAUCAGGAGGAACACAGGUGGCGAAGGCGGUUAACUGGACCACAACUGACGCUGGGACACGAAAGCGUGGGGAGCAAACAGGAUGAGAUACACUGGUA